rnacentral:rRNA from 1 species
UGGGGAAUAUUGCGCAAUGGGCGAAAGCCUGACGCAGCGACGCCGCGUGAGGGAUGAAGGUUUUCGGAUCGUAAACCUCUGUCAGAAGGGAAGAAACCGCACUGUGCUAAUCAGCAGUGCCUUGACGGUACCUUCAAAGGAAGCACCGGCUAACUCCGUGCCAGCAGCCGCGGUAAUACGGAGGGUGCAAGCGUUAAUCGGAAUUACUGGGCGUAAAGCGCACGUAGGCCGCUUUGUAAGUCAGGGGUGAAAUCCCACGGCUCAACCGUGGAACUGCCUUUGAUACUGCUUAGCUUGAAUCCGGGAGAGGGUGGCGGAAUUCCAGGUGUAGGAGUGAAAUCCGUAGAUAUCUGGAGGAACAUCAGUGGCGAAGGCGGCCACCUGGACCGGUAUUGACGCUGAGGUGCGAAAGUGUGGGGAGCAAACAGG